AUACUUACCUGGCAGGGGAGAUAACAUGACUAAGUGAAGGUGGUUCACUCAGGAAUGAGGCUCAGCUGGCUGUGACUGGUUGUGUUGACUCAAACAUGCACUCCCAAAAUGUGAAUCUCGACUGCAUAAUUUGUGGUGGUGUGGGGACUGCGCCCGCCUCCCCUGA